rnacentral:lncRNA from 1 species
CGAGACAAUAUUAAAAAUUCUUGCGCGAAAGCAGUUUUUAUCCUGAUUCAUUGUUGGGUAAGUAAUUGACGGAAAGGUAAGCGUUACCGCUUUUCAUGAAAUUCAUGAUGUUUUUUUGCAAACUUGUUAAAAGUAAUGCUAUUUAGCCUCACUGGGGUUACAACCCCAGUCUAUGUGGCACUCAAUGGGGCUAUGUAACCUCAGUGAGGCUAAAUAGCAUCACUCCACUUGUUAGAUUCUUUGGUUUCUUCGCCUCCUUAGUAUGUGUGACGUGUACAUUUCAAGAAGGCAAACAGACUGAAAUGGUAAAAUUGUGAAUGUGACUGGGGUUCAGGCACCGUUCCAGUCAAAGCAUUAAUUACUUCCAACAAUGAUUUGGUAAAGCAUUGAUGGCAAACAAAUCUAGAUUAAGACUCUAAUAACGCUACAUUUCUAUCCAGAGCCAUCAAAAGUCAUUCUUUCACCUUCAGGUUUAGUAACAUUUAAGGUAUUUAUGUCCUUAAUUUUAGUGUUUGAUAGAGUUGCAUCUGAUAGAUCUACAACGUGCUCUAAAUAUCUGUAGAAAAGCAUGAAAAUCACGAGUUUUCUCUUCCUUCUGUUGUUUUUCUUAUAUAAUUAUUGGAAAAUUUAAUUUCUUGAUUUUGUGUAAUCAGGUUUUGCUAUUUCCUGAAUUUUGAAAUUUUCAUGGAUACUAGGCAGCUUCACAUCAAGUUGAAGAAAAUCAAGGUUUUGGCCUCAAUUGUGUGCUUAUGGCUUUGGUUAGUCUGUUUGAGCAUCUGUUAUGUCAUAAUAAAGAUAUCAUCUCUUAGAUGCCUUAAGUGUGACAAGGAUCGUCUGUUCGUCUAUCCAGUANN